rnacentral:tRNA from 1 species
GGUCUUGAAGUUAGUGGGUUUUAACACUAUACGCGGAGUAUAGAGGUCACAGGUUCGAAUCCUGUCUUGACCA